GAUGAACGCUAGCGGCAUGCCUAAUACAUGCAAAUCGAACGAAGCCUUUUGGCUUAGUGGUGAACGGGUGAGUAACACGUAUCCAAUCUACCCUUAGGUUUGAGAUAACUAGUCGAAAGAUUAGCUAAUACCGGAUAAUAGCAUUCACUUGCAUGAGUGAAUGUGGAAAGUUGCGUUUGCAACGCUUUUGGAUGAGGGUGCGACGUAUCAGAUAGUUGGUGAGGUAACGGCUCACCAAGUCAUUGACGCGUAGCUGUACUGAGAGGUAGAACAGCCACAAUGGGACUGAGACACGGCCCAU
rnacentral:rRNA from 1 species